CAAAAAAUAAUUUAAUAAGAAUAUUAAUUUUGGAGAUUAAAAGUGUAUAUUUAUGGGUAUUUUUUUGA
rnacentral:tRNA from 1 species